UACCGAAAGCGGCUGGCACCCGUCCACAACUGCCAGAAUCUCGGGCCCUCGGGCCCGCAGAACCCCGCGAAAGAAGUGCAUUACUCUGUUAUGCGAAGUUGGGCGAGAGGCGUCUCGCCGGAUUCCCCCCCGACGCGUCACGCGUCGGGGGGGGAUGCGAAUCAAAGCGUACCCCCCCAUUUUCAACCCCACCAAACUCUGAAUCUGAACUCGAAAGGGAGGCCUGGCUUCACGGCGCGCCUCAAGCCUUAU
rnacentral:rRNA from 1 species